GACGGAGGAGGCAAGCGUUAUCCGGAAUUAUUGGGCGUAAAGGGUACUUAGGCGGCUGGUCAAGUCUGGGGUUAAAGGCCACAGCUCAACUGUGGGAAGGCCCUGGAAACUGACCGGCUAGAGUGAGGUAGGGGUUGCGGGAAUUCCCGGUGUAGCGGUGAAAUGCGUAGAGAUCGGGAAGAACACCUGAGGCGGAAGUGCGCAACUGGGCCUCAACUGACGUUGAGGUACGAAAGCUAGGGGAGCGAAUGGG
rnacentral:rRNA from 1 species